UACUGGACGACUUACACGGAAG
rnacentral:miRNA from 1 species